rnacentral:lncRNA from 1 species
AUGGGCUUUUCUACAGUAGCUCAGGAUUAUCAGGAAGCCAGCCCUGACCUUGGAAGACCUCUGAGAGCCCAGGACUCACCAGCAAAAAAGGGAAGGGACUCUCUUUCCCCUUUUCCGAUGAUGGCUGAAGUUUCCACCUGUUGGCUUGCUGUUCCCCAUCCCCCUACAAGUUGCACAACUGCAGUCUGCUAAGAAGUGAAGAGUAAACAAGAGGGACAAUGAAUGCAUCCUCUCAAAGACAGCACUAAUCAGCGGGCCCCACCCUCAGAAUUUGGGGGCCGGAAGUGCUGCUGGUUGAAAGCUGAAGAUCACAGCCGAUAAUAAAGUUAAUUGUUACCCAGUCAGUAGUGUCUGUUGUGGUUUA